UACGUAGGGGGCAAGCGUUGUCCGGAAUUAUUGGGCGUAAAGAGCGUGUAGGCGGUCCGGUAAGUCAACUGUGAAAGUCAAGGGCUCAACCCUUGAAAGCCGGUUGAUACUGUCGGGCUAGAGUCCGGAAGAGGCGAGUGGAAUUCCAGGUGUAGCGGUGAAAUGCGUAGAUAUCUGGAGGAACACCGGUGGCGAAGGCGGCAUCCUGGACCAAUACUGACGCUGAGGAGCGAAAGCGUGGGGAGCGAACAGG
rnacentral:rRNA from 1 species